rnacentral:tRNA from 1 species
GCCGCGGUGGUGAAACUGGUAGACACGCAUGCUUCAGAAGCAUGUUCUCGCAAGGGAUUGGGAGUUCGAGUCUCCCCCGCGGCA